rnacentral:rRNA from 1 species
CUAAAAAUGAUUGGAUAAUAUAUAGUAGUUUAGCUAAUAAUGUAAAAAGAAACGUCUAAAUUUGUUAGUUAUGGAGAAUGAAACCUGUAUUAAUGUGCAAAAUUGAAUAAGUACUGUGAAGGAAUAAACUAAUAUAAGUAGUAUUGUAGUUGAGAUUGACUCUUGUACCUUUUGUAUCAUGGUUCUUUUAGAUUAAUAGUUUUGAUUAACUGUCCCGAAAAAGACUGAGUUAUUUUUUGGCUUGGCGUCGACGUAGUAAAGUCGUGCUUAGAUUAAAAAAUAGGGGUGAAAUGCUUUUCGAAGUUUUUGAUAGCUGGUUAACCAAAAAAAGCAUUAAAGUGCUGGAAACUUGUUUGUAUUUUUGUUUUACGCAGUAGGAUAAAGAAUAUAAGGUAACCUUAAAUAAAAAAGGAUAAGCUUUUUUAUUAUAUAAGAAAACAUAGUUAAAAAUGUUAAUUAAAUUUAAUGGGCUUAGAGUUAGCCAAUUGAUAGUAAAUUUGUUAUAAAUUAAUUUAAUUUUAGUUUUAAAGAUUGUUGAAUUAAAGUUUUCUAUUUUGUGUAUAGAGGAGAUUGGUUUUAUCAUUUAGGUUAUUUUAAAUGAUGAAUUUCUGGAGAAAUGAGUAUUUAUUUUAAGUGUAUUUCAGUAAGGUGUAUAAAAGUAAGUCUGUGAUUGAUUUAAUAAAAAUUUAUAUUUUAUUUGUAUAUUAAAAUUUUAAAUGUAAUAAAUUUUAGAAAAGGAAUUCGGCAAAUAAUAGCUUCGCCUGUUUAUCAAAAACAUGUCUCUUUGGAAAUAAGUAUAUAAAGAGUCGAACCUGCCCGGUGACUAUAUUGUUAAACGGCCGCGGUACCCUAACCGUGCAAAGGUAGCAUAAUCAUUUGCCUUUUAAUUGGAGGCUGGUAUGAAUGGUUUGACGAGAGCUAUGCUGUCUCUUUUAAAAUAUUUAAAAAUUAACUUUUAGGUGAAGAGGCCUAAAUUUAUUUAAGGGACAAGAAGACCCUGUUGAGCUUUAGUGAUGUUGUAAACGAUGAAGAAUAAGUUAUUAUUGAUUUGUUGUGUAUUUAUUAUAAUAAAAGUUUGCAGAUAAUCUUUAGUUGGGGCGACUGAGGAACAUAAAAAGCUUCCUUGUAUAUAAAUUAUUUAAGUAAUUGAAUAAAUUAAUGCUUAUGUGUUAUUUUGAUCCAAAUUAUUUUGAUUAAGAGAAAAAGUUACCACAGGGAUAACAGCGUAAUCUUUCUGGAGAGAUCUUAUCGAAAGAAGGGUUUGCGACCUCGAUGUUGGACUAAGAUAUCCUAAGGGUGUAGAAGUUCUUAAAGGUUGGUCUGUUCGACCAUUAAAAUCUUACAUGAUCUGAGUUCAGACCGGCGUGAGCCAGGUUGGUUUCUAUCUUUAAAUAAAAAUAAUCCUUUGGCUAGUACGAAAGGACCGUUGUAAGGUAAUAAAAUUAUUAAGCUUAGAAUUAAUUUAAGUUAAUUUUAAAUUUUAAAAUAUUGCGAGUUUUAAGAAGUUGAGUU